GACAGAGGGUGCAAACGUUGUUCGGAUUUACUGGGCGUAAAGCGUGUGUAGGCGGCUUCGCAAGUUGGAUGUGAAAUCCCACGGCUCAACCGUGGACGUGCAUCCAAAACUGCGUCGCUAGAGUCUCGGAGAGGAAGGUGGAAUGCUUGGUGUAGAGGUGAAAUUCGUAGAUAUCAAGCAGAACACCUGCGGCGAAGGCGGCCUUCUGGACGAUGACUGACGCUGAGACACGAAAGUGUGGGGAUCAAACAGG
rnacentral:rRNA from 1 species